CAUUGGUACAAAGUGAUGAAUGGACAGCAAGCGCUGCUCUGGUAGUAAGCGGCGCACUGUAACUAAGCGGUGGUUCAGAGACAGGUGGUACAAGGUACAGGAAUGGUGUUGAAAGCGC